UCAUAUCAUAUCUAUCAGAGCAUUUCCUUGAAAAAGGUUAAGUCUCUCCAUCAUCUCCAGCAUGAUCAUCAUCAUAGGCUAGCUCACUUGAAGCAAAAUAACAUUCAACCCAAACACAAACACACACCAAGAGUGAAUUAUUACAUUUCUAAAUAAAAUACAGAUAAAUAAAGACAUAAGCAAAAUAGAUUAUGAAAAUAUUUAUCAGAUAAUUCAACUUAAUACAAUCCACGUCACUUCACUACAUUAUCAUUUAAAAUUUAUUUUUCAAUCACCAAUCACAUUACACAUGAAUCACAUACUCAACUCAAAGACGUAACAACACUCACCAAUUUCAUAAGAAAUAAUUCACAAGUGUUAUGCAACAAUUAUACUAACACUCAAACUUAUAUGCAAUGUGUUAUGUCACACAAUGACAUGCCACACAAUGAGUAUGUCAGGUUACUCUCACUAAUUAAAAUCAUAAGGUGAUCAAUCAGGGUCACUCUAUUUUGUGAGAAUGCUCCAAGGAUCAAUAUAUAAACUUAAAGAAAUACUCAAACCGAGUGUAUUUAUCUCAAAGCCUAGACUUCGAAGAAUUUAUUAGGGUUUCACCUUCCUGAUUCAUGUCUAACCCCUAAAACAACUUUUACACGUAGACAGUGCUAAAAAAUUAUACAAUACACAUGACCUCACACUUAUUUUCAAAAACGUUUAACACAUUGUGUUACAAUUUAACACCUCAGGUUCCUAACUUGGAACCCUACACUUUCGUUUUAACACCUAGCGCAUAAACAUUUUUUCUUAAGGUAAAUACCAGUUGGGUUAUUAUAUAAUUUAUAAUUCACAACACAAGUAAUAUCAAGUAUUAACCAAAUGUUUAUUGACAACCAUAUCCCAUGUUCAUAAUUUAACAUAUCACAACAUCAAAAUUCAUCGUCGCAUGUUCACGUGUAUCUCACAAAUUAACAUAUGUUCAACUUGUCAUUUAUAUUUAAUUUCAAUCAAAAUUUCAUGAUUUCAAUAUAACAAUUUAUCACGCCUCAUAAAUCAUACACACAUCACACACUAAUAACAUUUACAUGACACAAAACACAUAUAUAUUAAAUCAAUAACUUGCAACAUAUAUGCGCGUAAAAUAAAAAAAUGAAUUUAAUAAUUUAUUUUAUUGAAUUUAAAUACAAGAGAAUGAAAAGAGGAAACUCAUUUCCCCUUAUGUUAAAUCUUUCCUUACUUAAUUUCAUCAAUUCAAGCUAAUUAGAACAAGACCUAAUUUCUAGAAUUCACACUCAACACAAGAACAUAUCAAUUUCACAACAAUUUCGCAUCGGAACAUCAUUUGGUUCGUCAAACACAAUCAAUUUACGAAUAAAAGUAUAAAAACAAAAUUAAAAUUCAUAAAAAAACCCAAAAAUAACUCAAAAUUUAUCCUUUAGGAAUCUCUACACAUAUUCAUUCUAACUCCAAACGUGAGUAACUCAUUCAUUACUUCGAUGUAGUCGUUCAAGCAUGUAAUGGUGGCAUUUCCGGUACUCUCUAGAGCUCCUUUUCUUCCGAUUACUUUGUUAAGAAAUUUGAUGACUUAAUUUUUAUUCCUAUUUUUCUAGUUUAUUUUAUUAAUUAUAAAACAUUUUCUCUCUCUAUUAAAUAAAUAAAAAAUAAACCUUUCUCUUAUUUUCUAAAACUUUUUUUAUUUUCUAUAAUACUCUUAUUUGUUAUUUAUUCCAAACCUCUAUUUUUAUUUAAAUAAAAAAUAAUUUAUUUUAAUUAAAAUACCUUUUAAUUCAUUUUUUCUUACAAAAGAAUUUCUUUUAAUUAAUUUUCAGUGAAUCAAACAACUUACAUUUUCAUACUUACAGGACUGUGUAAUGACGGCUCUAAGAGAAAAAACAGUCAUUCUAGUGACUCAUCAAGUGGAGUUUCUCUCAGAAGUUGAUACAAUCCUGGUAAAGAAUCUCAUUUGGAUGCCUAUUACAUUACAUUUGUAUAUAAUUGAUUAACAUGAAACGUUAUGAAUCAAAUUCUAGGUAAUGGAAGAUGGAAAAGUUACUCAAUCAGGCAAUUACGAGAAUCUCCUGACUGCUGGGACAGCCUUUGAACAACUUGUGAGGGCUCAUAAGGAAGCAAUUACAGAGUUGGAUCAAAAUAAUGAAAAGGGAACUCAUAAAGAAGAGUCUCAAGGUUAUCUCACUAAAAACCAAAGUGAGGGAGAGAUUUCUACCGAGGGUAAACUUGGGGUACAGCUUACCCAAGAAGAAGAAAAACAGAUUGGUGAUGUUGGCUGGAAGACAUUCUGGGAUUAUAUUUCAUUUUCCAGGGGUUCAUUGAUGCUGUGUUGGAUCAUGUUGGGACAAUCUGCUUUUAUUGCUUUGCAGACUGCAUCAAUGUUUUGGCUUGCUCUAGCCAUUGAAGUUCCAAAAAUAACUAGCGCCAUCUUGAUUGGAGUUUAUGCAUUAAUUUCAUUUUCUAGUGCUGGGUUUGUAUAUGUAAGAUCUCUCUUUACUGCUCACCUUGGGUUAAAAGCUUCUACAGCCUUCUUCAACAGUUUCACAACUGCUAUCUUCAAUGCUCCUAUGUUGUUCUUUGACUCAACCCCUGUGGGAAGGAUUUUAACCCGAGUAAGAUUUCAUUCCCAAUGGAAAAGAAAAUCUAAACAAUUUCCGCUCAUUACUAUUUAAUCAUCUUCAAAAUUUUGAUCAUUUUUUUUCCUCUCUUUCAGGCUUCAUCAGAUUUAAGUAUUUUGGACUUUGAUAUACCUUAUUCCAUCACCUUUGUAGCAUCUGUAGGACUUGAAAUAAUGGUGACGAUUUGUAUAAUGGCUUUAGUAACAUGGCCAGUUCUCAUUGUUGCCAUUCCUGCAAUGGUUGCAUCAAAAUAUGUUCAGGUUUACCAACUUUCAUAUUUUUCUAGUUCCCGUCCCAGCUUAGAUCACAGCUAGAAUUUUCUUAAUCUUUUUUUUUCCUCCUAAAAGGGAUAUUAUCAAGCCUCAGCAAGGGAAUUAAUGAGGAUCAAUGGAACCACAAAAGCUCCUGUCAUGAAUUUUGCAGCCGAGACAUCACUUGGUGUGGUUACUGUAAGAGCAUUUAACAUGACAGAAAUUUUUUUUAGGAAUUACUUAAAGCUUGUGGACACAGACGCAGCACUGUUCUUUCAUUCUAAUGUGGCCAUGGAAUGGUUAGUUUUAAGGAUUGAAGCACUUCAAAAUUUGACGGUCAUUACUUCAGCUUUGUUACUUAUCAUAGUUCCUCAGGGAUAUGUGACCUCAGGUAAAGGUUAAUCACCAAGUUUAGGCUUGAUGCAUGCUAUUAACAAGCUAAUAAUUCUUGACAAUUCUCUUGGAUUGUGCAGGCCUUGUGGGACUGUCUCUCUCUUAUGCUUUCUCCUUGACAGGAUCUCAAAUAUUUUGGACUCGAUGGUAUUGCAACUUAUUAAACUACAUUAUCUCUGUUGAAAGAAUCAAGCAAUUCAUCCACCUACCAGUGGAGCCUCCAGCCAUCUUGGAGGACCACCGGCCUCCAUCUUCAUGGCCUUCAAAAGGCAGGAUUGAUCUUCAAGCCUUAGAGGUAAAGUUGCAUCAUUGUCCUUCAAUAUUGUUUCUUCAUUUUAUUACUUUCAAUUGGAAUAGACACUUCUUUGUGUCUUAUGGCCAUUUUUUUCUACAUUGAUUUCAGAUUAGAUAUCGUCCCAAUGCUCCAUUGGUGCUUAAGGGCAUCACUUGUACUUUUAAAGAAGGUAGUAGAGUGGGAGUCGUAGGAAGGACUGGAAGUGGAAAAAGUACACUCAUAAGUGCUUUGUUUCGCUUAGUUGAUCCAGCAAAAGGUUAUAUUCUUAUAGAUGGGAUUAACAUAUGCUCAAUUGGGUUGAAGGAUUUGAGAAUGAAGCUAAGCAUCAUCCCUCAAGAACCAACUCUUUUCAAGGGCAGCAUUAGGACCAACUUGGACCCUCUAGGCCUGUACUCAGAUGAUGAAAUAUGGGAGGUGAAUGAACUAGCUCUGCAGUUGAAAAAUGUUAUAUUUAAAUACCAUUCUCUUCUAUGUGAGCUUUUCAAUAAGCUCAGGUUUGGUUAUGUUUAAUUUGUAUAUAGGCUUUAGAGAAAUGUCAGCUCAAGGAAACUAUCAGCCGUCUACCAAAUCUCUUGGACUCUUCUGGUGAGUAAACUUCUAGCCAAUUCUCUCUGCAGCCUUGGGCAAGAAUCUAUUGCUGCUUUACUCUUUUGAGGUUUAACUUUAGGAGGAAUUCAAAAUCAUAGUUGUUCUUACAUGUUGUACUUUUAAAGCAUUCAAUUCGCAAAUUAAGAAAUUGGAACAAUUUAGCUAUUGAAGUCUAAUUCUGACAAGUUAUACAGUGAGUGAUGAGGGAGGAAAUUGGAGCUUGGGACAGCGCCAACUGUUUUGUCUUGGAAGAGUACUACUUAAGAGGAACAGAAUUCUUGUUCUAGAUGAAGCUACCGCAUCCAUUGACUCCGCCACAGAUGCCAUUCUACAACAAAUAAUUAGACAAGAAUUUGUAGAAUGCACGGUUAUAACUGUGGCUCACAGGGUUCCAACUGUAAUAGAUAGUGACAUGGUCAUGGUCCUCUCCUAUGGUAUGUUCAUUACUUGUUCUUUCAUUUUUUUUCCACCUUUUACUACUUCUAUUCUCUAGUUCACUCAGUUACCUCAUUUUUUAAAGGGAAAUUGGUGGAAUAUGAGGAGCCUUCAAGACUAAUGGAGACCAACUCCUCAUUCUCGAAGCUGGUAGCUGAAUAUUGGUCCAGCUGCAGGAAGAAUUCUUCCUCAAAUCUUAGCAGACAGCAACAUUGAAUAAUGAAUAAUAACAUUAUGGAAAAUCACGUGCAGACUUACUUUUUCACUGUUUUACUUUUAAAAUAAUCUACCUGAUGCAGAGUUAUAUAUCUUUAUAAACUCCCCUUCAACAUUUGUCGAUUUUUUUCUUGGUUUGUUAAGCCAUGAUAAUUUGAAGAACUGCAGCAUUUUUAACUAGAAUUUGAACAUGUUUCUACAUAUAAAAUUAAAAUUCCAUAGCACUUCAAAUUUUCUUACCCAAUAAGAAAAAAAAUAGAAAAAAGAAGGGAAGUUAAUAUUUUAAAUGGGAGGUGUGAUUGUGUCAGAGAUGUUUUUGUUUUGGUGUGAUUUCCCAAGAGUUUGAUUUAGAGGUACUUGAAAUUUGGUCUAACAUGCUAAGUUCAAUAAAGUACUCAGAUUCAGAUGCUUGAGAUAAUAUUAUACCACUCAUAACAAAAGCAAGUUAUGGAAACUUUUGCAAAAUGGUAGAGACAACUGAUAGCUAGAUAGCUCUUUAAUAUAAUUUACAAGAAAACAUCUGUUAAUGGUGUUAAGAGAUCUGUUUCGAACUUGGCAUUUUUUUGAUACAUAGAAACUUUAAUCCCGAGGUUUCUCAUGUCCCUUUAACCUUAGUGCUGAUAAUAGAAAGUUCAAAUGAUUCUAAUAAUUUGCAUAAAAAGAGAAUCUGGCUUUGGCAACAUGUAAAAAUGGAUAUUUGACAAGUACUGAAGACUGCUAAUUGUUAUUGUGGACUGAAACGAUAUAACAGUUCUACAUAAUUGAUAAUGAUCAGAAAAAAAAGAGUCUUAUCAUUAUUAUUAUUAUUAUGUUCCAAGAAAUGACUAAAUUGUCCAUAUUAUCCAAUACCGGAUACAAACUCUAAUGUCAUCAUGAAUUUCUAAUCUCAUGCAAGCAAAUCCCUUCUUAAUCCCUCAACAUUGGCAUAAUUCUAGUGAAUUCACCAGAUAAAAUAAAAUAAGACUUACUUGGGACUUCAAAGCUAGGAUGUGACGAUUGUGGUUGUGACCAAGCUGAACUCUGUGCUCCUAUUGUUGCUGCAGAGGAAGAAAACCAAGGUUGAUAUGAUUUGUGGUGUUGAUGAGAUGAUCCACUCCCUUGAGACAACAUCAAAGUGUUGAACUGCAUGGAAUUCUGAGGUAACGUUGAAGCAUUGCUGCUUUCUUGGAACACAUUUCCCUAAUAACAUAAACUAGGAUGUGAUGGAUGUGGCUGUGGCUGUGAGGAUGAAUUGGAUGGUCAAGAAAGCAGUUCUUCGAGAAGUCUUCAUAACUCCAAUGCCAUUAAGAGAAAAUUUGGCCAAGAAAGCAGCAAUGCUUCAACGUUACCUCAGCAAUUCUUUGCAUUGAUUCUUCAACUAACGCACAAAAAUUUCCAUCUGGAUUGAUUCUAUGUAUCUUAAAUUAAUAGAAUAUCAAA
rnacentral:lncRNA from 1 species